rnacentral:rRNA from 1 species
AAAGGAAUUGACGGGGGCCCGCACAAGCGGAGGAACAUGUGGUUUAAUUCGAUGAUACGCGAGGAACCUUACCCGGGCUUGAAAUGCAGAUGACCGGCCGAGAGAUUGGCCUUUCCUUCGGGACAUCUGUGUAGGUGCUGCAUGGUUGUCGUCAGCUCGUGCCGUGAGGUGUCGGCUUAAGUGCCAUAACGAGCGCAACCCUCAUCAUUAGUUGCUAACAGUUUAAGCUGAGGACUCUAAUGAGACUGCCAUCGUAAGAUGUGAGGAAGGUGGGGAUGACGUCAAAUCAGCACGGCCCUUAUGUCCGGGGCGACACACGUGUUACAAUGGGUGGUACAAAGGGCAGCUACCAGGCGACUGGAUGCUAAUCUCUAAAACCAUUCUCAGUUCGGAUCGGAGUCUGCAACUCGACUUCGUGAAGCUGGAUUCGCUAGUAAUCGCGCAUCAGCCACGGCGCGGUGAAUACGUUCCCGGGCCUUGUACACACCGCCCGU